AUUGAACGCUGGCGGCAUGCCUUACACAUGCAAGUCGAGCGGGGUGAGGUGCUUCGGUACUGAUUCUAGCGGCGGACGGGUGAGUAAUGCUUAGGAAACUGCCAUUUAGUGGGGGACAACAUUCCGAAAGGAAUGCUAAUACCGCAUACGUCCUACGGGAGAAAGCAGGGGAUCUUCGGACCUUGCGCUAAAUGAUGAGCCUAAGUCGGAUUAGCUAGUUGGUGGGGUAAAGGCCUGCCAAGGCGACGAUCUGUAGCGGGUCUGAGAGGAUGAUCCGCCACACUGGGACUGAGACACGGCCCAGACUCCUACGGGAGGCAGCAGUGGGGAAUAUUGGACAAUGGGCGGAAGCCUGAUCCAGCCAUGCCGCGUGUGUGAAGAAGGCCUUUUGGUUGUAAAGCACUUUAAGCGAGGAGGAGGCUACCUGGAUUAAUACUCUGGGAUAGUGGACGUUACUCGCAGAAUAAGCACCGGCUAACUCUGUGCCAGCCGCCGCCGUAAGAC
rnacentral:rRNA from 1 species